UACGAAGGGUGCAAACGUUGCUCGGAAUUAUUGGGCGUAAAGCGCACGUAGGCGGCUUAGCAAGUCGGCUGUGAAAUCCCUUGGCUCAACCAAGGAAGUGCAUCCGAAACUGCUGAGCUUGAGUACCAAAGAGGAUCGCGGAAUUCCCGGUGUAGAGGUGAAAUUCGUAGAUAUCGGGAGGAACACCAGUGGCGAAGGCGGCGAUCUGGGUGGAUACUGACGCUGAGGUGCGAAAGCGUGGGGAGCAAACAGG
rnacentral:rRNA from 1 species